rnacentral:rRNA from 1 species
AGAGUUUGAUCAUGGCUCAGAUUGAACGCUGGCGGCAGGCUUAACACAUGCAAGUCGAGCGGAAACGAUGAUAGCUUGCUAUCAGGCGUCGAGCGGCGGACGGGUGAGUAAUACUUAGGAAUCUACCUAGUAGUGGGGGAUAGCUCGGGGAAACUCGAAUUAAUACCGCAUACGUCCUACGGGAGAAAGCAGGGGAUCAUUAGACCUUGCACUAUUAGAUGAGCCUAAGUCGGAUUAGCUAGAUGGUGGGGUAAAGGCCUACCAUGGCGACGAUCUGUAGCUGGUCUGAGAGGAUGAUCAGCCACACCGGGACUGAGACACGGCCCGGACUCCUACGGGAGGCAGCAGUGGGGAAUAUUGGACAAUGGGGGGAACCCUGAUCCAGCCAUGCCGCGUGUGUGAAGAAGGCCUUUUGGUUGUAAAGCACUUUAAGCAGUGAAGAAGACUCUUCGGUUAAUACCCGGGGACGAUGACAUUAGCUGCAGAAUAAGCACCGGCUAACUCUGUGCCAGCAGCCGCGGUAAUACAGAGGGUGCAAGCGUUAAUCGGAAUUACUGGGCGUAAAGCGAGCGUAGGUGGCUUGAUAAGUCAGAUGUGAAAUCCCCGGGCUUAACCUGGGAACUGCAUCUGAAACUGUUAGGCUAGAGUAGGUGAGAGGGAAGUAGAAUUUCAGGUGUAGCGGUGAAAUGCGUAGAGAUCUGAAGGAAUACCGAUGGCGAAGGCAGCUUCCUGGCAUCAUACUGACACUGAGGCUCGAAAGCGUGGGUAGCAAACAGGAUUAGAUACCCUGGUAGUCCACGCCGUAAACGAUGUCUACUAGUCGUUGGGUCCCUUGAGACUUAGUGACGCAGCUA